CCUCUCUUUGUCCACAGAACAGGCACAGCAGGGCAGGAGCUGUGCAAGCUUCCCCCACACUGUCCUGCAGAGUGCCUCCUCCCUUUCAUUGAGAGGCCAUCAGUAGGACCGAGGUU
rnacentral:sRNA from 1 species